CACGUAGGGUGCGAGCGUUGUCCGGAAUUAUUGGGCGUAAAGAGCUCGUAGGCGGUCUGUCGCGUCGAAUGUGAAAACCCGGGGCUCAACUCCGGGCUUGCAUUCGAUACGGGCAGGCUAGAGUUCGGUAGGGGAGUCUGGAAUUCCUGGUGUAGCGGUGAAAUGCGCAGAUAUCAGGAGGAACACCGGUGGCGAAGGCGGGACUCUGGGCCGAUACUGACGCUGAGGAGCGAAAGCGUGGGGAGCGAACAGG
rnacentral:rRNA from 1 species